AUGGACUUUCUUCCUUUGGAGGUGGAGGAAAGAGACAAGCCUCAGGUUGAGUCUUUCAUAAUUCUAGCUCAGCCAACUGCAGUAAAGAAGACACAGUUCUUGCAAAGUGAGGCCCAUGACAGUCAUCCCCUCCCUCUCCACACUUCUCAUCCUGGUCUCUCACAGCUGGGCUUGCUGAUUUCGUUCUGCAAGGUGUCUCCUUGCUGAGCAGAUCAAGUCUGAAGAGUUGGGGGUCUUUUAAAAGUUGGACCCUGGAGGCAGUGUCCCAGCAGUGAUCCUGGUUAUACAACUUACCCCCAGGUAACUAGUACCACCUUUACCACAUAAAGGACACUCAAUAAAUAACAAUUAUAACCAUUUCCCACACCCUGUUUUUACUCACCCACACAGUUCAGUUAAAAGAACAUGGCUUCUACUUGGACCUUCUGAGUUCCUGUUACUAUUCUUCAGUGUCUCAUCUGGGAGGACUGAGAUCCUGUCUUGCCCUGAAUUCGAAACUUGGGUCUUUCCUAGAUGUCUCCAAUCCAUCUAUUAUGGGCAGAUAAGUUAGACAGAAGUUAAUAUACCAUUAGAGAGAGAGUGGACUCUCAAGAAAGUCAGUAAAAACUAAAGACAUCAGAAUUCUGGCUGGAGGUGCAUCUGAAGAAGACCAGGCAACUGAAGUACAAAAACAACUAAAUGCUUGUAUUGUUUGAUUGAUUUUGCAGGCCUAAGGCCAGUAGUCUGAGCAUUUAUUAAGAGGAUAACAACAUGUAGUAUAGCAAAUAUGAGGGGUUUCCUGCUGUCUUGUUUCUGAAAUCCAAUAUUGUUCUCACAAUUUGAUUUUGUUCUGUUCUAUUAUUUUAUUUUAUUCAACAUUCUGUUUUGAUUGUUUUUUUUCUGUUCUGUUUUGUUUGAUUUUAUUAUGUCUGAUGGUAAGGGCUGCAAUUCUGAAGAUAACAAGAGGCAUUAUGGUAGCCAUUGUUGAUUUCCUAUUAUCCUAUUUUGAAAUCUUGUAUCACUUUUACUAUUUUGUUUUGAUUGGCUUUGUUCUGUUCUAUCUCCGUUGGUUUUAUUCUCUUUAAAAUAUACUUUAAUUCUUUUGCUUUGAUUGCUUUUAUUCUGUUUUGUUUGAUUUUAUUAUGUCUGAUGGUAUGGACAAUUAUUUUGAAGAAAAUAAGAAACAUUAUGGUAGUCAUUGUUGGUUUCCUAUUAUCUUGUUUUGUAGCCUUGUAUCAGUUUCAUUGUUCUGUUCUGAUUAGCUUUAUUCUGUUUUGUUUGGUUUGGUUUUAUUCUCUUUAAAAUAAAAAAAGAAGAAAAGAAAGAGGUGCAGCAGUGUCAUCCUUUGACUUUGUACCUUUAAGACUGUCUCAACAGACAGAUUAGGCUAGAUUAGAAGCUAAUAAAUAGCUUUCUGCUGUUCAUUUUGAGAUACUUGCUCUGGAAGCCUUUGAAGUGUAGCUAUCUUAAGGAGAGAGAGAAAGAGAGAGAGAGAGAGAGAGAGAGAGAGAGAGAGAGAGAGCGAGAGACCGUAAUCAUGAGAUCCCAAAACAGAACUAGCCUAUCCUUUCCUGAGUUCCUGACCCACAAAAACUAUGAAAUAUAAUACAUAGUAAGUGGUGGUUGUUUUAGGCCAUAAGGUCUUGGAGGUUACUUACUAUAUAGCACUGAUUAUUGGAAUAUGGUGUUUGCUGAGAUAGAAAACAGGCUAUCCCUAAAAUGUAGCACAUUAGCAUACUGAAUAUUUUAAGCAGAAGGAAAUUGAGAGCAGAAAAUUCAUUACCUGAGCUUUUUCUGGCUAUCUCCAUUGAAUCAUAACCAUACAAGCAUUUUCUGACCUACCUCUCCUAUGAGUAUGUCAUAAAAUCCUUAUUUCAGAGGAGUCAUAUCUACAGGUCGAAGAAAGUGAGCAUACUGGCCCUGUUAAGCCUCUCAAUGUCUUGUUCCACCUUAAUUUAUUACCAUUAGAACAUACCUUUCUGUCCUCCUGUCAAACUUUUGGGUGCCUGUCCAUAAAGGAACAAUUUCCCCUGGAUCUUUGGGUUUUCAUUUCUCAACUCUCCUGUGUCAUAUAAAGUUUAUGUUAAAUACAUUUAUAUGCUCCUCUCGUGUUAACUCACU
ensembl:lincRNA